CGUUCCAAUACUUUGUUGCUAAGGGGCUGUGUUGACUUCGGUCAACACGAACCGACCCACAUUGUUGCGGAAAGCUAUAGGGGGACGCAGGAAGGUAGAUGAACCCGGUGAAUGGUAGAACCGGGGUAAGCGUGUAGGAGGAGGACCAGGCAAAUCCGGGCCUCACAUACUCUGAGACGUGAUACCGAGCCGCUUCAGGCGAAGUCAUUAAUCCUAUGCUGCCUAGAAAAGCCCAGUAGCGAGUUGACAUGGUGCCCGUACCCCAAACCAACACAGGUGGACAGGUAGAGCAUACCAAGGCGAGUGGGAUAACUAUGGUUAAGGAACUCGGCAAAUUUCCUCCGUAACUUCGGGAUAAGGAGGACCCCAGUAGCGUGACGAGACUUGCUCUCCGAGCGUGAAGGGGUGGCACAAAAUUGAGGGAAGCGACUGUUUACCAAAAACACAGCAGCGUGCUAAGCCGUAAGGCGCUGUAUACGCUGUGACUCCUGCCCGGUGCUGGAAGGUUACGGGGAUGGGUUAGUCCUUCGGGACGAAGCUCUGAACCUAAGCCCCAGUAAACGGCGGCCGUAACUAUAACGGUCCUAAGGUAGCGAAAUUCCUUGUCGGGUAAGUUCCGACCUGCACGAAUGGAGUAACGACUUCCCUACUGUCUCAACCAUAGACCCAGCGAAAUUGAAGUACGGGUAAAGAUGCUCGUUAGCUGCAGAAGGACGGAAAGACCCCGUGGACCUUUACUAUAACUUGACGUUGUGUUUUGUCAUAUGUUGUGUAGGAUAGGUGGGAGACAAGGAAGCAUGGACGCUAGUCUGUGUGGAGUCAUCGUUGAAAUACCACCCUGCAUAUGGUGAGGCUCUAACCUAGACCCGUUAUCCGGGUUGGGGACAGCGUCAGGCGGGUAGUUUAACUGGGGCGGUUGCCUCCUAAAGAGUAACGGAGGCGCCCAAAGGUUCCCUCAGCCUGGUUGGCAAUCAGGCGUCGAGUGCAAUGGCAAAAGGGAGCUUGACUGCGAGACCUACAAGUCGAGCAGGAGCGAAAGCUGGGCAUAGUGAUCCGGCGGUUGCGUGUGGAAGCGCCGUCGCUCAACGGAUAAAAGGUACCCCGGGGAUAACAGGCUAAUCUUGCCCAAGCGUCCAUAGCGACGGCAAGGUUUGGCACCUCGAUGUCGGCUCAUCGCAUCCUGGGGCUGAAGCAGGUCCCAAGGGUUGGGCUGUUCGCCCAUUAAAGCGGUACGCGAGCUGGGUUCAGAACGUCGUGAGACAGUUCGGUCCCUAUCCUCUGUAGCCGUAGGUGAAUUGAGGAAAGCUGUCCCUAGUACGAGAGGACCGGGACGGACGCAGCUCUCGUGUGCCAGUUGUCCUGCCAAGGGCAUGGCUGGUUAGCGACCUGCGGAAAGGAUAACCGCUGAAAGCAUCUAAGCGGGAAGCCUCUUCCGAGAUGAAUUCACCCACAGGGUUAACCUGGUAAGGCCCGUGGUAGACCACCACGUUGAUAGGCCGGAAGUGUAAGCGUGGCAACACGUUCAGCUGACCGGUACUAAUCGGCC
rnacentral:rRNA from 1 species